rnacentral:lncRNA from 13 species
GAGAGAGUGAAGGAAGGAGUGAUAGAAAAGAGAAGUGGACUAGAUAGAUCUACUACAUCGAAGAACGAGCUAUUCAGUGGACGUUGGCGGCUUUGCUGUCACAGGAAAGGGAGGAGGGGAGGGGGGAACAAGGGAUCAUGCUGGUCACGGCGGGACGGUGGAGUGUGUGUGCAAGGGUGUAUCGUGGCGUCUGCUUCGUGCUGGAGGAGUGUGUUUGAGGAAGAGAAUUCCGGCGAUUCAGUGCCAUGCUAUGGACUAGGAGCCAGCUGGAGUCUUGCUGAAGACAUGGCCCAGGCUAAAGGGCGGAAUGAUGGCGCCCUGUCAUCCAAUGAGAACACUCGGUCGCUGUCGUCGGGCGAGGUUGAGGGCGUGGCGUGGCAGGGCCCUCGUACGGUGCUCCUGCAGAAGAACUCCCAGGGCUUCGGCUUCACGCUGCGCCACUUCAUUGUGUACCCGCCAGAGUCCUCCCUCCACAAUAACCUCAAGGUAACAAUGGUUCAUAGCCCCCACGAUGGAAUGCAUUACGUUCAUUUGACAGAUUUCCCUACCAAGCUAAUGCUGAUCUGCUAACCUCCAGUCGUGUAGAGGUUAAUUGUGUCUCAUGACCAAAUUAAGAGGGGUCGUGAAGUCACAGAAUUACAGGUGUGUGUGUGUGUGUUACCCUAACCGUGUUCACACUUAUGGAGGUGUCCUGACCAAUGGUCACCAACCAGUGGAAGAAAAGCCCACACAUCCUGUAGCUCCCUAGGACCAGGGUUGGGGACCACUGACCUACAGGGAGGGGAGAGAAGAGAGGAACAGAGAAGUAAAUAAAAGAGGCAAAUGGGGUAAAAGAGGAAAGGAGGAGAAGAGAGAGAG